rnacentral:rRNA from 1 species
AUUGAACGCUGGCGGCGUGCUUUACACAUGCAAGUCGGACGAGUGGCGAACGGGUGAGUAACGCCUCGGAACGUACCGAGUAAUGGGGGAUAACUGUCCGAAAGGACAGCUAAUACCGCAUAUUAUUCGAGCGGCCGAUGUCUGAUUGGCUGGUUGGCGGGGUAAAGGCCCACCAAGGCGACGAUCAGUAGCGGGGCUGAGAGGAUGAUCCGCCAAACGGGGACUGAGACACGGCCCAGACUCCUACGGGAGGCAGCAGUGGGGAAUUUUGGACAAUGGGCGCAAGCCUGAUCCAGCCAUGCCGCGUGUCUGAAGAAGGCCUUCGGGUUGUAAAGGACUUUUGUCAGGGAAGCGUUACCCGCAGAAGAAGCACCGGCUAACUCCGUGCCAGCAGCCGCGGUAAUUC